rnacentral:rRNA from 1 species
UACGGAGGGGGCUAGCGUUGUUCGGAAUUACUGGGCGUAAAGCGCACGUAGGCGGCUUUGUAAGUUAGAGGUGAAAGCCCAGGGCUCAACCCUGGAAUUGCCUUUAAGACUGCAUCGCUUGAACAUCGGAGAGGUAAGUGGAAUUCCGAGUGUAGAGGUGAAAUUCGUAGAUAUUAGGAAGAACACCGGUGGCGAAGGCGGCCCACUGGAUCGGUACUGACGCUGAGGUGCGAAAGCGUGGGGAGCAAACAGG